rnacentral:rRNA from 1 species
UACAGAGGUGGCAAGCGUUGUUCGGAAUUACUGGGCGUAAAGGGCGCGUAGGCGGUUCGUUAAGUCCUGUGUGAAAUCCCCCGGCUCAACUGGGGAACUGCACAGGAAACUAGCGGGCUUGAGUUCGGGAGAGGGAAGCGGAAUUCCGGGUGUAGCGGUGAAAUGCGUAGAUAUCCGGAGGAACACCGGCGGCGAAGGCGGCUUCCUGGACCGACACUGACGCUGAGGCGCGAAAGCUAGGGGAGCAAACGGG